rnacentral:rRNA from 1 species
UUUUGGACAAUGGGCGCAAGCCUGAUCCAGCCAUUCCGCGUGAGUGAAGAAGGCCUUCGGGUUGUAAAGCUCUUUCGCAAGGGAAGAAAACUUACACAAUAACACUGUGUGAGGCUGACGGUACCUUGAUAAGAAGCACCGGCUAACUACGUGCCAGCAGCCGCGGUAAUACGUAGGGUGCGAGCGUUAAUCGGAAUUACUGGGCGUAAAGCGUGCGCAGGCGGUUUUGUAAGACAGAUGUGAAAUCCCCGAGCUCAACUUGGGAACUGCGUUUGAAACUACAAGACUAGAAUAUGUCAGAGGGGGGUAGAAUUCCACGUGUAGCAGUGAAAUGCGUAGAGAUGUGGAGGAAUACCAAUGGCGAAGGCAGCCCCCUGGGAUAAUAUGACGCUCAUGCACGAAA